GAGGUCACAUUGGAUUUAAAAAGCCAACAGAAAUUGAUGCCUUCCUUGGCCACCAGCCCUCCAAAAGAAAUCAGCUCCCUUGUGUUCUCCGUUUAAUUUGGAAGAGAUUGGUUUGGAAGAGCAGCUAAGGGCCCCCCCUAAACAGCCUCUUAGAAGCUGGUGUGAUUAGCAGAUGGCACCUGAGGUGUAGGAUCUGAAGUCUAGCCACGGCGUGUUGAUGAUGAGGAUGUGAUGGCGAUGAUUAUUCGCUCCUUAAUCCAUCUUUAACCACAUCAUUAGAAUUGACAAUUGUUUAUUGAAGUCUCACUUCAUGAAGUACAAGCUAGGUGAUUCUUUUUUGAAAAUAAUCCUGUGGGCCUAAAGUAUGUAGACCUCGUGUGGCUAAAAACGACCCACUUCCCUGUGCUUACUCCUAAUUACUUUCUUAUUUGUUUGAACUUAUUAAUGGAGUAAAUCCAACUUUGAAGUCAUUCAUUGAAGGCAAACUCUAACUAUUUAAUGAAAUAAAAAUCUGGUACAUUUUCAUCCUCAGCAAGUUUUAUAUUAUUGACAGUUGGUUUUCUAUUUAAUCAGGGAGUAGAAAUAAAAAUUUCUUUUCUAAACAGG